GACGAACGCUGGCGGCGUGCUUAACACAUGCAAGUCGAGCGGUAAGGCCCUUUCGGGGUACGACGAGCGGCGAACGGGUGAGUAACACGUGGGUGACCUGCCCUCCAGCUCUGGGAGUAAGCCUCGGGAAACCGGGGUCUAAUACCGGAUAUGACUCCAUGACGCAUGUUGUGGGGUGGAAAGCCUUGUGCGGCUGAGGAUGGGUCCGCGGCCUAUCAGCUUGUUGGUGGGGUGAUGGCCUACCAAGGCGACGACGGGUAGCCGGCCUGAGAGGGCGACCGGCCACACUGGGACUGAGACACGGCCCAGACUCCUACGGGAGGCAGCAGUGGGGAAUCUUGCGCAAUGGGCGGAAGCCUGACGCAGCGACGCCGCGU
rnacentral:rRNA from 1 species